rnacentral:rRNA from 1 species
AUUGAACGCUGGCGGCAUGCUUUACACAUGCAAGUCGAACGGUAACAGGGAGCUUGCUCCGCUGACGAGUGGCGAACGGGUGAGUAAUGCAUCGGAACGUACCCAGUCGUGGGGGAGUAACGUAGCGAAAGUUAACGCUAAUACCGCAUACGUCCUGAGGGAGAAAGACGGGGGACCGGUAAGGCCUCGCGCGAUUGGAGCGGCCGAUGUCGGAUUAGCUAGUUGGUAGGGUAAAGGACCUACCAAGGCGACGAUCCGUAGCGGGUCUGAGAGGAUGAUCCGCCACACUGGGACGUGAGACACGGCCCAGACUCCUACGGGAGGCAGCAGUGGGGAA